rnacentral:rRNA from 1 species
UGGCGGACGGGUGAGGAAUACAUCGGAAUCUACUCUGUCGUGGGGGAUAACGUAGGGAAACUUACGCUAAUACCGCAUACGACCUACGGGUGAAAGCAGGGGAUCUUCGGACCUUGCGCGAUUGAAUGAGCCGAUGUCGGAUUAGCUAGUUGGCGGGGUAAAGGCCCACCAAGGCGACGAUCCGUAGCUGGUCUGAGAGGAUGAUCAGCCACACUGGAACUGAGACACGGUCCAGACUCCUACGGGAGGCAGCAGUG